rnacentral:rRNA from 1 species
UUAGAGUUUGAUCCUGGCUCAGGACGAACGCUGGCGGCGUGCCUAACACAUGCAAGUCGAGCGAAUGAAGUUCCUUCGGGAACGGAUUUAGCGGCGGACGGGUGAGUAACACGUGGGCAACCUGCCUCAUAGAGGGGAAUAGCCUUCCGAAAGGGAGAUUAAUACCGCAUAAGAUUGUAGUACCGCAUGGUACAGCAAUUAAAGGAGUAAUCCGCUAUGAGAUGGGCCCGCGGCGCAUUAGCUAGUUGGUGAGGUAACGGCUCACCAAGGCGACGAUGCGUAGCCGACCUGAGAGGGUGAUCGGCCACAUUGGGACUGAGACACGGCCCAGACUCCUACGGGAGGCAGCAGUGGGGAAUAUUGCACAAUGGGGGAAACCCUGAUGCAGCAACGCCGCGUGAGUGAUGACGGCCUUCGGGUUGUAAAGCUCUGUCUUCAGGGACGAUAAUGACGGUACCUGAGGAGGAAGCCACGGCUAACUACGUGCCAGCAGCCGCGGUAAUAACGUAGGUGGCGAGCGUUGUCCGGAUUUACUGGGCGUAAAGGGAGCGUAGGCGGAUUUUUAAGUGAGAUGUGAAAUACUCGGGCUUAACCCUGAGGGCUGCAUUUCAACCUGGAAGUCUAGAGUGCAGGAAGAGAAAAGGGGAAUUUCCUAGUGUAGCGGGGGAAUGCGUAAAAAUCAGGAAAAAACCCCAGUGGGCGAAGGCCCUUCUUUUGGACUGGUACUUGAACCUUAAGGUUUCAAAAGGGGGGGGGGAAACAAAACGGGAU